CCAAUUUGGAGAGUUUGAUCCUGGCUCAGGACGAACGCUGGCGGCAUGCCUAAUACAUGCAAGUCGAGCGGAGUUGUUUUGAAAGCUUGCUUUCAAAACAACUUAGCGGCGGACGGGUGAGUAACACGUAGGUAACCUGCCUGUAAGACUGGGAUAACUACCGGAAACGGUAGCUAAUACCGGAUAAUUUGUUUCUUCUCAUGAAGAGACACUGAAAGGCGGAGUAAUCUGCCACUUAUAGAUGGGCCUGCGGCGCAUUAGCUAGUUGGUGAGGUAACGGCUCACCAAGGCGACGAUG
rnacentral:rRNA from 1 species